rnacentral:rRNA from 1 species
AACCUGACGCUUAGACGCCGCGUGCGGGAUGAAGGCCUUCGGUUUGUAAACCGCUUUCAGUAGGGAAGAAGCGAAGUGACGGUACCUACAAAAGAAGCACCGGCUAACUAUGUGCCAGCAGCCGCGGUAAUACAUAGGGUGCAAGCGUUGUCCGGAAUUAUUGGGCGUAAAGAGCUCGUAGGUCGUUUGUUACGUCGGAUGUGAAAAUCUGAGGCUCAACCUCAGACCUGCAUUCGAUACGGGCAAACUAGAGUUUGGUAGGGGAGACUGGAAUUCCUGGUGUAGCGGUGGAAUGCGCAGAUAUCAGGAGGAACACCAACGGCGAAGGCAGGUCUCUGGGCCAAUACUGACACUGAGGAGCGAAAGCGCGGGGAGCGAACAGGAUUAGAUACCCUGGUAGUCCGCGCCGUAAACGGUGGGUACUAGUUGUGGGAACCUUCCACGGUUUCUGCGACGACGCUAACGCAUUAAGUACCCCGCCUGGGGAGUACGAUCGCAAGAUUAAAACUCAAAGGAAUUGACGGGGCCCCGCACAAGCAGCGGAGCAUGCGGCUCAAUUCGAUGCAACGCGAAGAACCUUACCAAGGCUUUGACAUAUAGCGAAAAGUGGCAGAGAUGUCAUGUCCGGAAAGGGCGCAAUACAGGUGGUGCAUGGUUGGCGGCAGCUCGUGUCGUGAGAUGUCGGGUAAGGUCCGGCAGGAGGGCAACCUCGUCUGGUUCCGCUUUAGUGGGGACCCCGGAAUGCGGGUAACGGAG